rnacentral:rRNA from 1 species
UACGGAGGGGGCUAGCGUUGUUCGGAAUUACUGGGCGUAAAGCACACGUAGGCGGAUCAGUCAGUCAGGGGUGAAAUCCCGGGGCUCAACCCCGGAACUGCCUUUGAUACUGCUGGUCUGGAGGAUGGGAGAGGCGAGUGGAAUUCCGAGUGUAGAGGUGAAAUUCGUAGAUAUUCGGAGGAACACCAGUGGCGAAGGCGGCUCGCUGGCCCAUUUCUGACGCUGAGGUGCGAAAGCGUGGGGAGCAAACAGG